UGCCAACUUUCAAAACUAUUUUCAUCAAAGCCACAUAAAAGCGGUAACUGUGCAGUGUUCACACGCAUUACAACAAUCCCACGUCAUGUCUCAUCUGGGACUGGACCGCUAUUCUGAAAAGAUGCAGUUUUCCACAAGAAAGGAGGCGCAGCUGGAUCCAAAAUAGCCGAAAUUGUAUCUGUUGCUGACCAGAAUAAUUCGAUUGUAAAAAGAAGUGGCAUCCCCCAAGCCCUUGAAGCAUAUCUUAAUGAGGACCCUGCCAAGCUAGUGUAUGAGUAUAAAAGCGAGAACCCUGAAGAAACAAGUGCAAAACUGGAACAGAUCAUGAUGGGAAUCUAUGUGAUCAAACAUCCAGGUGAAGAUGCUGCUCAGUAACCAGAGGACUUUGGGAUCAACGUUGAAGGUGUUACAGUCCUUCAUGAACUCAAAGAUUGCCAGUGCUCAUGCACUACCGUUUGGCCUCGUGCAUGACCUUAACCUGAGCAACCCCCCUGACCUCAAGUACAUUUUUGAAAAUAUUCAAAAGGUCCUCAUGGAGCUGGAGUCACAUCAGCUAUUUCAUCUAAAGUCCAGAUGUUGAAAAAUAAGCUGCUGAACUAAUGUCCUACACACACAGUUUUUGUUACCCGGGACAUUGUUCAUUGUGGUUGGAGAUUUUGGCAUUUUCCUAAAACCUUUUAUGUUGCUUUCUGCUGAUUGGCUAUACCUGUUAACUUUUUUUAUAAAUAGUUUUUUUUAUGGAAAAGCCUGUUUUGAUGAUGUUGUGGUCAAACUCUAGAAGGUGCUGUUAAGACUAAUUUUAUUGCUGUGACCCCCCAUUGUUCAUUGUGCAUUGGGGCAUUUUCUGGCUGGACCAGUUGACUGUUUUGUAAACUGUUUAAGGAAAAGACUAUUUUGCUUGUUGGCUGUCUAAAUAAAAGGGAUAUUAUGACUAAUUUUGUCUAUUUUCAUUUCUCCCUUCCAUCUUACAAGCUUUAUAAAUAU